UUAUCAGGGGUAAGGACUUUAAAUCAUUAGUCAUAAUUUUAUCAGGAUGGCUAAACCUCUCUGUUUUAAAUCUGGAUCAGAUAUCCUGCGGAUAGAAAAGUGGAAGGGGAACGAGAAUCGGAUCCUUACCUCAGAGAAGAGAGGACGAGGAGCGAGGAGUGCAGGCCUAUAGCUACCACUGGAUUCCAUCAGACUUGGUGAAAAACCUCCACCCAGGAGCCUAGACGUGGCAUUACGACUAUCUUCAAAGAUGGAGGAGGACUAUCUUCCUGUUUGACCUGCUGUUGGAGUCAGCUGUUUAUCUGCCCCUUAAUGGUUGAACAGAAUCGAUAUACAUGUGGAAAUACACCUUAUGGCUAGAUUGCCCUUUUCUAUUGCCCCAAAUCAAAUAUCUUCUAUAUUACCCAUGCAUUGGUUUCAUUUUGUUUGUUUUUCAGUGCUAGAAGUAUCUGGCAGUCCAUAAGCAAAGAAAUAUUUAUCCCAAGACAGAGAAACACUAUUAGGAGCCAAAGAUCUUUAUUAAAAAGCAACCAAUUUCAAAGGUAAGCAUAAAGAAGUCGAAUCACUUUCUUCAUCCUAACAUUCCACGCAGUGACAUCAGGGAGGAGCCAUACCCAGUGAGCAUUUCAGCCUUUCCCAUCAUUCGGCAUUCGGUUAAGAUAAAGGAAGCAAAAGUCUCCUCCACCUUGAGGAAAUAAUACAAACAUAAAUUGUUAUGGCUAGCUGUGGAACAGACCUAAUAGAGCAAUGAAACACUAUAAUCUUGCUUACCUAUGCAAUCAUUUGCAGAACAUGCCAAAGAACAACCCCUCACUGUUUGAGGGCAGCUUCAAUAGCCAGUAUGAUUUUCUGCAGCUUGGUGUCGUUAUCCACAUAGCCAUCCCCAUUCUGUAGGACAAACAUUUCAGAAGAAGUUCAUGUGACUCCAAACUUUAAGAUCUCAGUAAUAAAACUUAUCAAAGUUGUUUGUGGUUUGAUAAAAUUUACACAAUGAAAAGUAAACAGACUUGACACAAGCUGCUGGACGGGAAAUGCUUUUUCUUCCUCCAGAACAGAGGCCCGCAGGCCAGAUGUGACCUUUAAAAGGAUUUUUCUUGCCCACCCACUUUGCUCAAAAGGCUUCACAGACUUCACUGUAUGGUAUAAUUUUAAUUGAAUCUGGCUUUGGAAUAUGGGAAAUAACCAUCCUACUACAUGUAAUAAGUCAGACACACUGUGCCUAGAAGAUGUGUAUUCCAGUUUUAUAAAAAAUAAUGCUACCUAAAGGCAAAAAGCCAAGGAGAGGCUCCUGACUUUUGAGAAAUCACUAAAUCAACCGAACCAAUGGGAAUCAGCCUAGAUGCUUCCGUUUUGAUCUAUAAAAUAUCUGCCUCAUAAGCCUUGCAUUUAUAAUUUGUUUUAAAAGACAACUUAAGUCCCAAAACAGUGCCUUUUAUUAUUUUUUUUUUUACUGAUAAUAGGAUAGGGCUAUUGGGUUGUUUCCCCAUAUAUAGCAACCCUGUCAGCUUAUUACCAAGCCUCUUAUUUUAUGUACAUCUGGAUUAGUGUAUCCUGGGGGCAGAUAGUGAAGCAAAGACUUUAGUCUCACCAGUGAAUUUACGGGUAAGUAGAUGGAUGGACUCCAUAAUAAUCACAAAACCACAGUUACAUUAGUGGACUUAAUCCCCAGAUAACUAUAAUCAAUUAGAAUGCAAUACAAAAAGUAAAGUAAAAGAAAUAUAAAGUUUUAUUGGUUAGUUUCACACAUUACCAGCAUAGUUAAAACACCAUAGACAAAGUAUUUUUGUAAGUACGAUUUCCUUGCAGAUAGGACUAUUAACUUACAUAGGACUGUUGUCGUUGGAAAGGGGCACGGAUAUCCUAUGCUUUUAUAACAAUCAAUAUUAGUUGCCCUUUAAAAGGACAUGCUUCCAUCAGAGACAUUAUUAAUGAAAGGAACAUCCCAGUAGCACUAGCAAUAUUGACCGACAUCCUCCCACCUUUCCCUUUAACAUAGCUCAUGAAGGUCAACAGCACUAGAAAGGCUUGGGUUACUUAGUUUAAAAUGCAGACUCUUACUCGUUGUUCUUGGAAGACAAAAUAACCUCUCCAACGGAACGAAGAUCAAUACACCUGGCAGAUUGCAUUGCAGUCACAUGCUACACAGCAUUGAACAAAUGUUCUCACCAAGUAAUAAAGAGAAAUGCAUUCUUUCACAGGGCUAGCUUACAGAGUGUUAUCAGAUCAGCAAUGCAUUACUAGUAUGAACUGAUCCAAACAGGCAUACAGUGUCCAUUUGUCUGAAGAUUUUACUCUCUUAAAAAUAAAGAAAUAUUAAAUUG